AGAGUUUGAUCCUGGCUCAGGACGAACGCUGGCGGCGUGCUUAACACAUGCAAGUCGAACGAGAAUCUGUGGAAAGAGGAUUCGUCCAAUUGAAGCAGAGGACAGUGGCGGACGGGUGAGUAACGCGUGAGGAACCUGCCUUUCAGAGGGGGACAACAGUUGGAAACGACUGCUAAUACCGCAUGACACAUAGGUGUCGCAUGGCAUUUAUGUCAAAGAUUUAUCGCUGAAAGAUGGCCUCGCGUCUGAUUAGCUAGUUGGUGAGGUAACGGCCCACCAAGGCGACGAUCAGUAGCCGGACUGAGAGGUUGAACGGCCACAUUGGGACUGAGAUACGGCCCAGACUCCUACGGGAGGCAGCAGUGGGGAAUAUUGGGCAAUGGGCGCAAGCCUGACCCAGCAACGCCGCGUGAAGGAAGAAGGCUUUCGGGUUGUAAACUUCUUUUGUCAGGGACGAAACAAAUGACGGUACCUGACGAAUAAGCCACGGCUAACUACGUGCCAGCAGCCGCGGUAAUACGUAGGUGGCAAGCGUUGUCCGGAUUUACUGGGUGUAAAGGGCGUGUAGGCGGGGCAGCAAGUCAGAAGUGAAAUCUCUGGGCUCAACCCAGAAACUGCUUUUGAAACUGUUGCUCUUGAGUAUCGGAGAGGCAGGCGGAAUUCCUAGUGUAGCGGUGAAAUGCGUAGAUAUUAGGAGGAACACCAGUGGCGAAGGCGGCUUGCUGGACGACAACUGACGCUGAGGCGCGAAAGCGUGGGGAGCAAACAGGAUUAGAUACCCUGGUAGUCCACGCUGUAAACGAUGAAUACUAGGUGUGCGGGGACUGACCCCCUGCGUGCCGCAGUUAACACAAUAAGUAUUCCACCUGGGGAGUACGAUCGCAAGGUUGAAACUCAAAGGAAUUGACGGGGGCCCGCACAAGCGGUGGAUUAUGUGGUUUAAUUCGAAGCAACGCGAAGAACCUUACCAGGGUUUGACAUCCUGCUAACGAAGUAGAGAUACAUUAGGUGCCCUUCGGGGAAAGCAGAGACAGGUGGUGCAUGGUUGUCGUCAGCUCGUGUCGUGAGAUGUUGGGUUAAGU
rnacentral:rRNA from 1 species